UACAGAGGUCUCAACCGUUGUUCGGAUUCAUUGGGCGUAAAGCGUGCGCAGGCGGUCGUGCAAGACAGAUGUGAAAUCCCCGGGCUUAACCUGGGAACUGCAUUUGUGACUGCACGGCUGGAGUGCGGCAGAGGGGGAUGGAAUUCCGCAUGUAGCAGUGAAAUGCGUAGAUAUGCGGAGGAACACCGAUGGCGAAGGCAAUCCCCUGGGCCUGCACUGACGCUCAUGCACGAAAGCGUGGGGAGCAAACAGG
rnacentral:rRNA from 1 species